GGAAGAAAAAAAGGUUAGGGUUUCACCACCACCAUUAUCAUUUCCGUCUAAAUCUUAUGCGAUUGAUCGAUCCAAUCCGUCCGUCCAUCCAUCUCAAUGGAGAAAUUAGAUAAUCAUGCGAAGAUCGGAGGAACGUACGGUGCCGAUUUGAAGGAUCACUGCGCCGGGAAUUCCGUUCGUAUGCCAGAAUUUCUUGAUGUUGGGCCAUUCCGCCAACGGCAUCGAAGCAAGGUGGACCACGAUCUUCGUGAUCCACACCCGGGAACUGCAGCAGGAUUUCAUCUGAUUACAGCGCCGGCGAAUUCCACGUCGGAUGCCUGAAUUUCUCAAUGUUGGCCCAGUCUACCAACGGCAUUGAAGCCGGGUGGCCGCCGCUCUUCGUGAUCCAACAACCAGGAGCUGCGGUGGGGCUUCAUAUGCAAGAUCUGUGCGAUCCUCACCAUCCAAUUGCUGAUUGCCACCACUGCAACCUCUGUGGCCAUGUCCUGGCUCGGCUCGGCUCGGCCAGUAGCUAAACCCAGAUUGAACUCAGCUCAGCUCUGAGUGGCCAGCUCGGCUCGGUUCGGUUCGGUCAGCAGCUCGGGCCAGUUCCAGCCGAGUUCGAGCCAGUGUGACAUUUUGUCAAACACAUAGAGUGCGUCUUCAAUUUUUCACAGAAUGCAAAACAGUAACAGCCGUUUUACAGGUUAGAUUACCAUUGCAACCCUGUCACAGAGUAUCAACUGAUUCUUGGAUUGAUGAUUUGGCUUUUGAACCGAUAGCUCUUCUGGGUAAAUGGUUCUGUUGUGAUUUUUCUUGCAUAUCAUAUUCUAGUUUUGGAUCGGCCAUCUAUUUAUGAAAGCAUAAACCAAUAAAUGUAAUGCUGCAGGCAUUUGUAAUUUAUAAAGUUGGUGAUGAUUAUUGAUUUUC